rnacentral:rRNA from 1 species
GACAAACGCUGGCGGCGUGCCUAACACAUGCAAGUCGAACGGAAAUAUCAAGGAAGCUUGCGAAUUGAUAUUUUAGUGGCGGACGGGUGAGUAACGCGUGGAUAAUCUGCCCAUAAGUGGGGAACAACAGUUGGAAACGACUGCUAAUACCGCAUAAGCUUAAGACUCCGAAGGGAGAUUUAAGUAAAGACGGCCUCUUAACAAUGCUGUCGCUAAUGGAUGAGUCCGCGUCUGAUUAGCUAGUUGGCAGGGUAAAAGCCUACCAAGGCGACGAUCAGUAGCCGGCCUGAGAGGGUGAACGGCCACACUGGGACUGAGACACGGCCCAGACUCCUACGGGAGGCAGCAGUGGGGAAUAUUGCGCAAUGGGGGAAACCCUGACGCAGCGACGCCGCGUGAGUGAAGAAGGCCUUCGGGUUGUAAAGCUCUGUUUUAGGGGACGAAUGUUCCUGAUAGUAACUGAUUGGGAAAUGACGGUACCCUAAGAGGAAGCCCCGGCUAACUACGUG